GAACCUGCGGAAGGAUCAUUACCGAGUGUAGGGUUCCUAGCGAGCCCAACCUCCCACCCGUGUUUACUGUACCUUAGUUGCUUCGGCGGGCCCGCCAUUCAUGGCCGCCGGGGGCUCUCAGCCCCGGGCCCGCGCCCGCCGGAGACACCACGAACUCUGUCUGAUCUAGUGAAGUCUGAGUUGAUUGUAUCGCAAUCAGUUAAAACUUUCAACAAUGGAUCUCUUGGUUCCGGCAUCGAUGAAGAACGCAGCGAAAUGCGAUAACUAGUGUGAAUUGCAGAAUUCCGUGAAUCAUCGAGUCUUUGAACGCACAUUGCGCCCCCUGGUAUUCCGGGGGGCAUGCCUGUCCGAGCGUCAUUGCUGCCCAUCAAGCACGGCUUGUGUGUUGGGUCGUCGUCCCCUCUCCGGGGGGGACGGGCCCCAAAGGCAGCGGCGGCACCGCGUCCGAUCCUCGAGCGUAUGGGGCUUUGUCACCCGCUCUGUAGGCCCGGCCGGCGCUUGCCGAACGCAAAUCAAUCUUUUUCCAGGUUGACCUCGGAUCAG
rnacentral:rRNA from 1 species